AAGCAUAGUAUAAGAUAGCCACUACAUGCUCCAUGUAACGAAGAUUCUGAAUGCAUCGAUGGUGCACAUUGCAUUCAACGGAAUAAUACAACGUCUGGAAAACGUUGUUACUGUCAGGAUGGAUAUGAUGAAGAUGGUCUUCUAGCGUGUAAUGGUAGUCCAUCCAUCUUUCCAGUUCACAUGUUAAUUUUAUUAGCUGUUUUAAGUCUGUUAAAAGGAAAUGUUAUUUAAACAGAUUACUUUGAGACAUAAAAUAAUGGAUUUCUCGAAAAUACAAUCUUGUACAAUAUAAAAAAUUCUGAAUUUUAAAUUAAACAUAUGUCAUGUAGCAGUAAUAAUAAUAGGAAGUAAUGCUUAUUCAUUGAAGCUCAUCUUAAUAUUAUAUUCAAGAAUUAUAUCUAAAAAUAGAAGAAAGUAUACAAUUAUUUAUAACUAAUAUAUUCUAUUACAUAUGUUACAUGAUGCCUUUAUAAAUAUAUAUAUAUCUUAAAUUAUAUAUUUAAAUUAUGAAACUGUAUUUUUGGAUACAUUAUUUGAAAACAGAACACGUGUAACGUAAACGCUCGUUCCUCAAUUACAUGUGCUUUAAUUCUUAAUUGCCUUGAAAGUUUAUACUUACGUAAAGUUUAAAUUAUAUUACAUAUCAAACAUUAUUCGACUAUACAAGCAAUACAUUUCAAAAUACUUCAGUAUUGUAACAUAUCUAUAAUACAAGACUCUUAUAAUUUAAAAACAUUCUAAUGUCGUAACAAAUUAUAGUAUACAGCAUGUUUACUUUUUUAUAUUCUUCAAAUUAUAAAGAUUUGAAAACUAGAAAUGCUUUAAGCAGUUAAGAAUUAAAACGAUGAUAUACUAAAAUCUAUUAUAGAAUAACGUAAGAAUGUAAUCUAUUAACCUUUUGCGGAUGUGAAUUUUUCCGAAUGUUGAAAGUAUUUUACACGUGAUAGGAGACUAUAUAAUGAAGACUUCAAUAUUAGGAGUAGCAAAGUAAAUGCCAUUUUAUUCUUCUUUAAAUAAUAAUAUUAAUUUUUUGUGAAAAUACUAGCAAAUCUCAGCUCUAUAAAUAAGGACACGAUGCGCUUAUUUGACGGAAUUUAUCUGCAAGGGGUUAAAAUUUUGAUCGCAGUAUCAUAUCCAUACCAUUUUUACAGCACGAAUAAGUACGCGUAUAUUCGUGAGUUGUGCGUAUUAUUUUUUCAAGUACCACGAAGUAAAAAGACUCCACAAAUUGUUUGUUAUGUUAUUCUUGUUACAGUGUCAAAUCAUAUACUGUAUUUUUAUUUUAGAAAUACUUAAAGAACUUAUCUCGAUUACUUAAAUCCCCAUGUAACUGAUACACAAUAGUAACUUCUACACAAGUUUCUCAACAAUUAAAACUUCUUAUAUUUUUUGAAGAUUAUUCUAUUGAAGCCAUUUGUUUAAUUUUUAGAAUAUUAUAGAGCGAUAUUAUUACAAGCAUUAUGAUCAAUAUUAAUUUGUGAUUGAAUUUAUUUUUAUUAAAAAGACGUUAUCGGCAUAUUACUAAUAUAUUUAUAAAUAUUCUGCAAAAAACAUACAAAGAUUAAUCUAUAUUGUUGAAUAUCCAUCUGUAUAUUAUCGUCGAGUAUUGAUCGUACACCUUAAAUGAUCAAAUCAUGCGAUAUUAUAUUGCCUUUGGUAUACUGAAAGCAAAAAAGUUCAUAACUUAAGGACUUUAUAGACACUUAGUAGGUGGAAAUAAUGAAAACUGCGGGAUACAAAAGCCACAAGUAUAUAAAUUUAUAGACUAUAACUACACAUUAUACGGAAUGCAAAUGAUUGUAAAUUUAAGUAUAGUUAUACCGAGCUAAUUUGAUCUCUGCUAUUCGUUUAUAUUCAGUAGGGAGACAGAAAGUACAGUAGAAUUCGUUUUUCAUCGGCAGAACAAGUUACAAGACAGGUAGUUUAUACAAUUGAAUGGUUCUUAUAUUAGAAUCCCAACAAAUGUUCUCACUAUCAAUGCUUAUCAGUUUAGAUAAUCGAAGCUAGACUUUAGACAACUGGAGUCCAACACGUACAUCUAUGUGUAUUCUGGAUACAGCUAAACUAAAAUUUACAAAUUACAAGUGAUGUAUCGUAUGCACAAUUUAUAAAAAUAACAGUCAAGUGGUAUCGAUCACGUGGUAAUUAUUUAAAAAAGGAUUCUCCUCAUCGAUAUCUAUGAUUUUUUGGAUAUGUUAUCAGGAACGUAACUUUAAACGACUUGUUCCUAUAUAUGUAAAACUCCCGUUCAGCCCUAGUUUUUGAAGAAACUUUUGCCUAUACAUGCGCCACUGCACGAAACUCUCUCCCCGCUGUAGUAGUCGACGCUGCCUUUCAUCAACGGACCGAUGACAUAAUAGUGGUACAGACCUCAUAUCUAUAGGUUGUAUGUUAAAAAGAGAUAAUACUGCAAUAGUCGACUGGUAGGUAACAUGGAUUUUCGACUUUUUCCUCUAACUUUCUCCUCUAACAAGAAUAAUAGUGAUUGGUAUUGGUACUGGGGGGUGCCUAUUCUUUUAUUUUAUAAUUGUUAACAAUCCUUUCAGUCUGAAUCCGGCAGUUGUUUAAUAAUUAUAAAGUACAAUAAUGGGCACCACCGCCCCGAUUGAGAAAACUACUUCGAUCAAUACAAUACUAAUUUAUAUUAUUCUUGAAAGACGAAAAAGUUGAUGCAAACAACGUUUUUACAACAUCUGUCGAUUUUGUGAAAAUUAGUGUUACUACCAUAGUGUUUGUUUGAAACAGUUCACCCAUCACAUCUACGAGUCUUGUCCACCGUGAUACAUUUAUAGAAACGGCAGAUAAGCAGCCACCGCAUGUUGACGCACAUUCUACCUCGGCGUGCACGUAUAACCA